GCGGAUAUGGUGGAAUUGGUAGACACGCUAGAUUUAGGAUCUAGUGCCGCAAGGCGUGUGGGUUCGACUCCCUCUAUCCGCACCA
rnacentral:tRNA from 1 species